rnacentral:rRNA from 1 species
AGAGCGAACGCUGGCGGCAGGCUUAACACAUGCAAGUCGAGCGCCCCGCAAGGGGAGCGGCAGACGGGAGAGUAACACGUGGGAACGUACCUUUCGGUUCGGAACAACCCAGGGAAACUUGGGCUAAUACCGGAUACGCCCGCAAGGGGAAAGAUUUAUCGCCGGAAGAUCGGCCCGCGUCUGAUUAGCUAGUUGGUGAGGUAACGGCUCACCAAGGGCGACGAUCAGUAGCUGGUCUGAGAGGAUGAUCAGCCUCACUGGGACUGAGACACGGCCCAGACUCCUACGGGAGGCAGCAGUGGGGAAUAUUGGACAAUGGGCGCAAGCCUGAUCCAGCCAUGCCGCGUGGGUGAUGAAGGCCCUAGGGUUGUAAAGCCCUUUCGGCGGGAAGAUAAUGACGGUACCGCAGAAGAAGCCCGGCUAACUUCGUGCCAGCAGCCGC